CUGAAGAUCGGGAUAACAACUGGAAACGACUAAUAAUACCGUAUAAUCUCCAUAUUUAACUUUAUUUCGGAAAUUUNCCCUCUAUUUAUAACCNNACGCUUUUGGAUGAUUCCCCGUCUCAUUAGCUUGUUGCUGGGGUAAUGGCCUACCAAGGCAACGAUGAGUAGCUGGUCUGAGAGGAUGAUCAGCCACACUGGGACUGAAACACGGCCCAGACUCCUACGGGAGGCAGCAGUGGGGAAUAUUGCGCAAUGGGGGAAACCCUGACGCAGCGACGCCGCGUGUAGGAAGAAGGCCUUCGGGUCGUAAACUACUGUCAAGAGGGAAGAACCCGCAGCAUUAAUACGGCUCUGCGCUGACGGUACCUCUAGAGGAAGCACCGGCUAACUCCGUGCCAGCGAGCCGCGGUAAGACGGAGGGUGCGAGC
rnacentral:rRNA from 1 species